rnacentral:ncRNA from 1 species
CAGAACUCUGGAGAGACCGGUUCAAUCCGGCGCCGAAGGGGCAAGAAGCAGCGGUCCGCCGCGCUUUCAAACUCUCAGGCAAAAGGACAGAGGGG